ACAGAAAUAUCGGCCUCGGAAACCCGCAUGACCCACACAGAUUCCUACAGUAAAUCUGAGUCGAGUUACUAUUCCACGGACCGAGUCGACUACACUAGAUCCAGCAGCUACUCAGGGAGUGCAGUAUUUGACGAAAACGCAAGGGGGAGUUUCUCUUCUGGAGGAGACAGCUAUGGUGGACAGUUCAACCCCCCUCCAAGUGGGGGAGCUGGCUAUUAUGGACAGUAUUCAGGGGAGGGGAGGCCUCCCCCUAAAUCCUAUGCGGAAGCAGCUCAGGGGGGCCCCAAGCCUCCCAAGAGUAUACUGAAGAACAAAGCAGCCUCCUCUGGUGGUUCUUCAGCUCCAUCCUCAAAGUCUGGCAUUCCUUCACUGAUGGAUCAACCUGUUGGGGGGUUUCCCCCGCCCCACGCCUCCAGCCGAAGUGGGAACCCCCGAGGGGGGAGGGGUAGCUGGAAUUAGUUUAAAUCUCUAACUAAUUAUCCAUUGUACAUGUAUGUUUUUUGUUCCUGUUGCAAAAACAAGCUUGUUCUCUCUUCCUUUGUAUAGUAGUGUGGUAUUUAAUUGAUGCAUGAUACUUCUGCCUGCAUUAGGAGUAUAUGCAUUUCAAGAAGUUAUCUGGAUUUAGUUGAUAAGCCCUAUUUCAAACAUUGGUGCUAAAAAACAGCUGUUUAUUUCAGUUAAAAAAAAAAAAUGCCCAUUUUAAAGUUCUUAGAUGAUGUUUGUUUUCAAUUAUCUGUGAUUUCCAGUGGGUGCAAUUAGAUAAAAUUAUAUAUAGAGAUGAUAGUGUUUGUAAGUGCUUUGUUUACUGAAAGAUGAAUGGUUGGGAGGGGAAAUUUUGGGCUCAGAAAUUGAGCUUCAAGUUCAUUUUCAUAGAUUGCAUUAAAAGUAUGUACAAGUAAAAUAUGCAUUUUGUUUGGUGUAAAAGUGUUGAAAAUAUCCUCAGAGACAAAACUUUGUUGAGAGAGAGAAUGAGUGAUUGUGUUGCAGGUUCAGUGUCAUUAUUCUGUGUGCAUCCGUUUUCCUUAAUUAAUAUGGUUCUGGAGAAAACUUCAUUUUGAAAAAAAGUUUCCAUGCUUAAUCCUAGUUCAAAGAGAACAAGUGGAAAUGAUCCAUUGUGAAUAAUUGCAAUGUUACGGCCAUCAAAAGCAGGUGUAUUUCAAAAUCUUGCAGGGAAAUUCAGUCUCUAUUGUAUUACUGUGUGCUGAAAUAAAAUCUCAUAAUGUU
rnacentral:misc_RNA from 1 species